CUAGCAAGGAAGGAAGGAAGGAGGAAGCAGGCAGCAGACCCUCUGCCCAGACCAGACCAUCCAGAACAGCUAUUGCUAGAGUAUGUUCUGUCCGCGUGGACUGCAGAGCAAACACCAGUGGAACACCAGUGGAAGGUUUUUAAGAGAACUUUACUUAGGAGAUAAAGGCACUAAGAGCUUUGGAUUUUCUUUUCCCUCAUGGCAACAUCAGCGUCUGGACGUCCAAACGGCUUUAACCUAGCCACAUUAUAAACACCAUCGGUACUCUAAGAGAUCCUCAGCUCUUCUUCAGUAGCAUGUUGAGUACCAUCCACCUGAGGAGCCCGUCAUCUAGCACCAUAUCGACAAUCAUUCUAUCUUAUCUAUCCAUGUGGUUUUCUUGAUAAACUACAAGAGUGGUUUACCACCGCCUUCUCCCGUGCAGUAUGAAAUGAUGCCUUUUUCGUUGUCACUAAAGUGACCAUCCUUCCUAUAUCGCUGCUGACCAAUAUAGGUGCCUGCUUGCUUUAGUUGGGCAGCUGGGAUGACCUUCACACCUUGGGUGACCCUAUUGAGAGUACACUUCCUGGCUACUUCACUCAUCCCUCCCAGGAACACACACACCCCGGCCACGAUGAGGCCACAUAGCAGGACUUUUGGCGGGGGCGGGGGGGCACACCAGGUAUUAAUACUGAAAACUGGAAUUCAUCUAGACAGGAACCCUGGAGAGGAAGACAGGAACUCUAUAGAUGACAGCAACCUCUUCUCCACAUCCAAGAAGCCUGUGCUAGAAUUACACCAAGAACUCAGGCAAAUACAGCUGACAGAGAAGGAGGUUAAAUUAAACUGGUUACUUAAAGAUAUACAUGUUUACAUUGUACACACACGUACACACACACGAGAAAUGAUGUGUACUUUAAAAUGGAAUUCAAAUAAUUUUAAAACUAAAUAAAAUAGCAACUUUAUAUGUC